ACUACUUGAUUUCUCAUGUUGCAGUAAGCUAAACGAUUUCAUCUCUUACGUGACUUGUUGUUCUUGCACGUAACUGUGUAACCGUCUGACUGAUAAAGAAGUUGUUAAAUGUCUUUACGUUUAGAAACAUAAUCAAGCAAACUCAUCCAAGCAGAUGCGAAUAGCCUACAAUGUCAGUACUCAAACCACCAGUAGCAGGCUUAGGACUAGAGUUUGCCAGUCAGACCACUACACCUUUGCCAGCACCACCACCCAGCAAGCUUCAUCAACUCCAGCCAUGCCGAGUUUACCAAUCAGACCUACACCUCUGUCAAAUUCGCUCACAACGCUGCCAGUAACACCCCAGCAAGGUAGAACUGCAUUUUCAUUAAUCUGGCACCAAUAUCAAGGGAGAAACAAGCCAUGAAUGUCUGUCACAACUUCUUUGCAUCUUUACUUUCCUUACAUCUGAAGAGUGUGUUACAUAUAUCAUUAUUAAAAAUAAUUUUAAUAAAUUGUUUAAAGGUAGGGUAUGGAAUGAGCUUUGUUGG